rnacentral:rRNA from 1 species
ACGCUCGACACCUACGGGGGGCAGCAGUGAGGAAUAUUGGUCAAUGGGCGCUAGCCUGAACCAGCCAAGUAGCGUGAAGGAUGAAGGCUCUAUGGGUCGUAAACUUCUUUUAUAUAAGAAUAAAGUGCAGUAUGUAUACUGUUUUGUAUGUAUUAUGUGAAUAAGGAUCGGCUAACUCCGUGCCAGCAGCCGCGGUAAUCUGAGCGGGCUGGCAAGGC